GGUCAGGAAUGGGGUUGAUCCUGACCUGAUUGACUGAUGAGUUGUUACAUAACUUGGGAUGGUCUGUUCAUAUAUCCAUGAUUUUAAGCUUAUGUAGGACGCAGGCAUGCAGACAUCAAGGGAUGAUAAAUAGGGUAUUUUCCCCUGUCAUACGACUUCAAGGACAGUCACACUCACAGAGCUCAUGCCCCGUACUAGUUUAAGUUGGCCUUGUUAAUCUCUCCUACCAGGAAAUGCCUGACCCCAAGUUAUCCACAGGAGGGGCCCUGCAACAGAGCUAGGCUGUUUUAGUGGCCUGUCUCAGAUUGGUGCUAAUGCUUUAUGGUUUUAUACAGUCACCUUCCCCAGCUUGCCACAUCUUGUUUCCAAUUGUGUUGGCCAAAGUCCCAGCUUGUUUAGAGGGGUCCCCCUCUCCUAGGGCUACCCCAGGUAUUAUGAUUUGCUGGCCUGGUCUAUCAUUUGGGUAUCCUGUCCCUUUAAGAGACAAGCCCCGCUCUCUUCCAACUCCUCCCCUUCCGCAGAGGGAAGCAGAUAUCCUGCCUCCUCCAGCCUGUACUCUUUAGGUCUCUCUCCUGAAGAGGUAACUUCUGCUCUCUCUCCCUCCUCUCUCUUCUUCCCACUUCUCUCCUUCUGCUCUUUCCCUUUUCCUUCUAUAACCAACUAAAUAAACUCUAUACCCAAACCUUCUCUCUGCAUGACAUAUCUGUCUGUCUCUCACUAAGGCCUCAGGGGACUUGCCAAGGCCCAGGGUACCUGCCACUACCCCCCCUCCCCCGUGGGACCACCACCUCUCGUGGGACCAGUCCGCCACAACUAUAUCUUUAAGAAGGAAUAACACCAGGUUGUUCCCCUUGCUCUGCUUCCAGACAGCAUGGGUUGGACCAGUUCCCAGGGAAUUGCUGUGUUGUGCUCCACCAGGAGACAGGGGGAAAAAAAAAACGGACAAAGUCCAGAAGCUGAAGGAAUUUUUCAAAAACUGAUAAGAUGUACAAGGACCAUCUGCACCUACAUCUUCCACGGCGGAGGGAAAAUGGCAGUAAGAUCUGGAGUAAGAAGAUGCUGCUCACUCUCAUCCUAUUCUGAUAAGGAAAGAGGCGGGGACCACCGGAACCGAAGCUGCCCCUCCUCCACUCACCUUGAUGGAUUCGGUGUCAGGGGCCAGGAAAACACCUCAGCCAAAGCAGACUAGCAGGCGCCACCCAAACACCUGCUUGGCCUAGAAAGUGGCACCAGGCACAGAAGUCUGCGAGGUGAGCAGUUCGGAGUCCCCAUCUCUCCUACCAGCAACAAUGUUUCAGUUUGCUGGGCUGUCAGGGAACACAUGAGCGAUAAAGACGGGGAGAGUGUGUG